rnacentral:rRNA from 1 species
UACAGGGGGGGCAAGCGUUGUUCGGAAUUACUGGGCGUAAAGGGCUCGUAGGUAGCCAACUAAGUCAGACGUGAAAUCCCUCAGCUUAACUGGGGAACUGCGUCUGAUACUGGAUGGCUUGAGUUUGGGAGAGGUGAGUGGAACUGCGAGUGUAGAGGUGAAAUUCGUAGAUAUUCGCAAGAACACCAGUGGCGAAGGCGGCUCACUGGCCCGGUACUGACGCUGAGGUGCGAAAGCGUGGGGAGCAAACAGG